rnacentral:tRNA from 2 species
GCCGGCUUAGCUCAGUUGGCAGAGCAGCUGAUUUGUAAUCAGUUGGUCGGCGGUUCGAUUCCGUCAGCCGGCACCG